rnacentral:lncRNA from 1 species
AGGUUAGGAAGAUUACUUGGAUGCUUUUCAGGCUUCUCCAGCAUUAACCGAGCAUGCUCUCAGUACAAACAAUGACUUAUUCAGGUACGUUUAGUUCAGUACCUUCAUACAUUUCAGAGCUGUUGAUAUUAAUACAACAACCUGUUAGAAUUCAGUACCUUCAGGUUUGUGUCAAAGUUGCUGUGGAUCGAUUCAGUACCUUCACAAAUUUAGAGCUGUUGAUAUGGGUGGGGUACUAGUUUCAAACAAGAUCGCAGCAAAAUGAUAAUGACAAUUUAACAGAAUCACAGAAACUUGUUUGAAACUGGUACUGCAAAAUCAAAUUCUAGUGAACCUUGACUGAAUCAUGCACACACAGAAACGAGUGAAACUUGACAGUCAAAUUUAACAUGUUAUUCUGGGCAAAACUUGACUAAAUCACAAUGUUUACUACAAAAUCAAAUUAUAGUGAAACUUGACUGAAUCAUUCAAGGACAAUGACAAUGAUAUAGGUGAAACUUGACUGAAUCAUGCAAACACAUUUAGUAAUUGACUUGUUCUCAUCUAACUUUAAUUGCAAAAUGACAGUACUAGCGAAACUCAAAAAACCUUUAUUUGUUUGUUGGUUCAGUUAGCCAGCAGAAACUUUAUUUUCUGAAACCACAAUCACAAUGACAAUUCUUGUGGUUGUUCUCGUCUCACUACCACUCAAUUCUUGUAACGAAACUACAAUGACAUUUUGGUUCUGAAGAACCUAUAUUUAAUGGUUCUGAAUAACCUCUGCUGGCUAUAUAUGUCCAGUAGGAUGUACUCUUGCAAGCCACAACCAACUCUGGUUGUUUCAUCUGACAAUGACAAUUCUCGUUGUUCUCAUGUCACCGUUUCUGAAGUAGGGAAAUUACUGGAGUAGCUGGCAUCAGUUGAUCAAUUUCAUCAGAGGUCAUGUUCAGCUGCAGAAACUGUGUUUGGCACACAUCGGAGGUCAUGUACUGCAUAUGAUCAAAUUAGAGAACAAGCAAGGAGUAUCAUCCAGUUUCAGUAAUUGAAAGUGAAAUGGGAUGAUCUGCAACACCACAAUUUGGAUGAAUUUGUUCAAAGGUACAGUGAAUAUGCUCAAAUUUUAUGAUCUGCACCACCACAUUUGUUCAAAACUGGAUGAUCUGUUCUAAUUUAAUUUCACCAGAUGACACCAAUUUCAGCAGGCAUUGUACCUUUCAACCACCACCACCAAGCAGCAGAGGCGGGGGCGCUUGAGUAAAUCAAAGUCGAUGAUCGGGGGCUCUACACCACCCCAGCAGCACCAGCUGCAACAGAGGCGAGGAAGACAACAGCAGUAGCAGAGGCCAGAGUGGCAGAAAAUUUCGCGUCGCUGGUGGCCGAAGCGGAUGAAGUGGCUGGUCCUGCGAGUGGCGGCGGUGGUCGCCUCUGUGGCAGCGGCGCAGGUGGAUGGUGGCGCUGCGCCGGACGGUUGAUGCGCUGGUCGCUUCCGUGGGCGGCGGUGGUGGGGCAGUGCAGGUGGGUUGCGGUGGUCGAGCUGCGCAGGUGGGCCUCCGUGGCGGCUGCGCAGGUGGUCGGUGGCGUUCGACCCGACGGUGGCUCCCGCCGGCGGGGGAGGAGGAAGGAAGGAGACGGGUUUAUUUUUCAAGGGGGUUAAACGUAUGAGAUUUUUUUUCUUUUUUGCAAAAAACACAAUGAACACUUUUCUGGACGGAGAGAGUAGUUUUUAUGUCUUGAUGAUCCGUACUUGAUCAUGUUUAUAUUUGUUUAUUUAUUUGAACCAGAAACUGAAUCUAAUUUUUUAAAGGAAACUGAAUCAGUAUCUAUGUAUCAUCCUUCAUUUAUUUUCACUGACAUGACAGGACGGUUGACGCGAGGGCCGUCCAAACCAACUACCUGUACCACAUGUCCAG